rnacentral:rRNA from 1 species
AUCCUGGCUCAGGAUGAACGCUAGCUACAGGCUUAACACAUGCAAGUCGAGGGGCAGCAUGGUCUUAGCUUGCUAAGGCCGAUGGCGACCGGCGCACGGGUGAGUAACACGUAUCCAACCUGCCUUACACUCUUGGACAGCCUUCUGAAAGGGAGAUUAAUACAAGAUGUUAUCAUGAGUAAGCAUUUUCGCAUGAUUAAAGGUUUACCGGUGUAAGAUGGGGAUGCGUUCCAUUAGAUAGUAGGCGGGGUAACGGCCCACCUAGUCUUCGAUGGAUAGGGGUUCUGAGAGGAAGGUCCCCCACAUUGGAACUGAGACACGGUCCAAACUCCUACGGGAGGCAGCAGUGAGGAAUAUUGGUCAAUGGACGAGAGUCUGAACCAGCCAAGUAGCGUGAAGGAUGAAGGUCCUACGGAUUGUAAACUUCUUUUAUAAGGGAAUAAAACCUCCCACGUGUGGGAGCUUGUAUGUACCUUAUGAAUAAGCAUCGGCUAACUCCGUG